rnacentral:lncRNA from 1 species
AUGGCUGCUCCUGUGGCAAAUGGAAGUUCCCAGGCUAAGGAGCAAAUUAGAGCUGCAGGUGCAGGCCUACACCACAACCACAGCCACACUGGAUUUGAGCCACAUCUGUGAUUUAUGCCACAGCUUGCAGCAAUGCCAGAUUCUUAACUCACUGAGCAAGGCCAAGAAUCAAACCUGUAUGCUCAUGGACACUAUGUUGUGAUUUAGGAAACCCCUCUAGUAAAUCACAAAACAAAAUGAUCACCAAUUCCUUCCAUCCCUAUAUACACACCCCUCUACAAUGUGGCCUCACAACUCCUUCUAGAAAGAGAUGGAAUGUGUAUCCUUAACUCUUGAUAUCAGGUCAUGGACAUGUGACAUACUUCAGCAAACAUGGCAGAGGCAGAGACUUUAUAAGUGCUUGUGCAAUGAAGCUUGCCCUAUCUUACUGCUACCCCACCUGCCUCUUGUCUAUAGAAAAACUUUAGCCUCCUAGGCCUUUCCCAAGUUCCAAAGAGUAAAUUUAAUUAGCUAGAGAGAAAAUGCAGAAAGCAAAACCUCAAACAAAACAAACUAAUAAUAAUUUAGCCAUUAAACAAAGUCAAGGAUAUUUAGUCCUUCUUUGAAGGUUAUAGAUAAUAUUCUAAGCCAUGUCCUUAGAGCCGUUUUGCAGUUAAUGAAACCUUCAUCAGGUAGAAGAAGUUAACUAUAUGCUGCCCACAAACAUGGAGACCCGACACCAGUUGGGACCAGAAGGUUGACGAAGCUGACUUCUAAUUACCCACGACUAACCAAUCAGAAUUUCCACAAGUUGAUCAUGCACUCCACCUAACCCCUCCCUCUCCCUGCCUUUAAAAACCUUCCCCUGAAAGCCACUGGAGAGUUCAGGCCUUUUGAGCACUAACUACCUGGACUUCUUGUUUGGUAACCUGCAAUAAACACCGGACUUUCACUCAUUACGAUUCAAGCGUCAAUAGACUGGCUUUACUGCAUGCAGAUGGACAAACUCAAGCUUGGUUUAGUAAGAGCCACAGUCGUGAAUGUGAGCCCAGGAGACACCUGGACAAGAACAGUCCACCUGGGCCCAGCCCAAAUUGCCAACCCAUCAAAUUGCAAGUUAACAAUGAUGGUUGUUUCAAGCUGUUAAUAUUGUGGGUAGCUUAUUAUUCAGCAAAAGCUAAUUGAUAUGCCCCUUCUUAAAAAAGAAAAUCAGAUAAAGUAUUUGCAGUCAAUUCUAGUGGUGCUAAAACUUGACCACACUCUUAAAUUAUUUAAAAAUUUUUUUAUUUCAGGACCUGAUAUAAGUGGUGAGCAUAUUUCUAUAGAACCAAUGCAUUCCAGACACUUUGUCCUACCUAAUCAAAUGCCACUGAGAGAUGCUACCCAUUCAGGAAGGAAAAAAAAAAAAACCUUUCUAGAAGUAAACAUGAAACUAGAAAAUUAACUGUGACAGUUUUGAUUUUUACAAAGGAACUUCACUGCAUUAUUGAAAAAUCCAAGUUUACCAUGGUAACUGCUUCCUCACACACCACUUUUAUUCCCAACAAAGGCAUUUGUAGAGGAUGAAACAAACUACACUAGAACAUGAAGUUUCUCAUCAUAGUACCUCUGUAAGAUAUCUUGAAAAUCCUGUCUUUAGGCUGCUUUUAUACAACAUUUCUUUAUUACACUUACGAUAAUUAGAAUUGUUCCUACAUGAUUGAAGAUAAUGACAAAGUAUGUUGAAUAUGCUUUAAAAACUGACUAUAAAAUGUUACAUAUUAUUAUAACAACAAAAAAUAUUAUGUUGAGGAGAAUUGCAUUAUGUAGACAUAUUCACUGAUUUAUUUAACAUAAGAGUACCUACUCCCAGAGUUUCCAUUGUGGCUCAGUGGUAAUGAACCUGAACGUGAUUAGUAUCCAUGAGAAUGGGGGUUCAAUCCCUGGCCCUGCUCUGUCGGUUAAGCAUCCUGUGUUGCCAUGAGCUGUGGUGUAGGUCACAGAUGUGGCUUAGAUUCUGCAUCACUGUGGCUGUGGCAUAGGCUGGCAGCUGCAGUGCCAAUUUGACCUGUAGCCUGGAAACUUCCAUAUGCUGUGGGUAUGGCCCAAAGCAAAAAAAAAAAAAAAAAAAAAAAAAAAAAAA